UACGGAGGGGGCUAGCGUUGUUCGGAAUUACUGGGCGUAAAGCGUACGUAGGCGGCUUUGUAAGUUAGAGGUGAAAGCCCGGGGCUCAACUCCGGAAUUGCCUUUAAGACUGCAUCGCUUGAAUCAUGGAGAGGUGAGUGGAAUUCCGAGUGUAGAGGUGAAAUUCGUAGAUAUUCGGAAGGACACCAGUGGCGAAGGCGACUCACUGGACAUGUAUUGACGCUGAGGUACGAAAAGCGUGGGGGAGCAAACAGG
rnacentral:rRNA from 1 species